rnacentral:rRNA from 1 species
UACGGGGGGGGCAAGCGUUGUUCGGAAUUACUGGGCGUAAAGGGCUCGUAGGUGGCCAACUAAGUCAUACGUGAAAUCCCUCGGCUUAACCGGGGAACGGCGUCUGAUACUGGAUGGCUUGAGUUUGGGAGAGGGAUGCGGAAUUCCAGGUGUAGCGGUGAAAUGCGUAGAUAUCUGGAGGAACACCGGUGGCGAAGGCGGCAUCCUGGACCAACACUGACGCUGAGGAGCGAAAGCCAGGGGAGCAAACGGG